rnacentral:rRNA from 1 species
AACGAACGCUGGCGGCGCGUUUUAAGCAUGCAAGUCGAACGGCAAGGCAUCUUCGGAUGCCCUAGAGUGGCGAACGGGUGAGUAACACGUAGGUGAUGUGCCCUGAAGUUGGGGAUAGCUCAUGGAAACAUGGGGUAAUACCGAAUAAUCUGGCAGUUUUUUGAAUUGUCAGGAAAGAGGCGUUUGCCUCGCUUUUGGAUCAGCCUGCGGCUUAUUAGCUAGUUGGUGGGGUAAUGGCUCACCAAGGCGACGAUAAGUAGCCGGCCUGAGAGGGUGAUCGGCCACAUUGGGACUGAGACACGGGCCCAGACUCCUACGGGGAGGCAGCAGCUAAGAUCUCGCAGGGCCCAAGCCUGACGAGCGACGCCGCGUGCAUGAUGAA